GAUGAACGCUGGCGGCGUGCUUAAUACAUGCAAGUCGAGCGAACAGACGAUAAGCUUGCUUCUCUGACGUUUGCGGCGGACGGGUGUGUAACGCGUGUAUAACCUACCUAUAUUACGGGUAAAACUACGGGAAACCGGAGCUAAUCCCGGAUAUUCUUUUGAUCCGCAUGGUUCAAUAGUGAAAGACGGUCUUGCGGUCUCUUAUAGAUGCAUCCGCGCUGCAUUAGCUAGUUGGUAGGGUAACGGCUUACCAAGGCAACGAUGCAUAGCCGACCUGAGAGGCGGAUCGGCGACACGGGAGCGGGAACGGGGUCAUGGCGACUACGGGAGGCAGCAGACGGCAAUGGUACGCAAUAGGCGAGAACCUGACAGAAUGACGCGAAGCGAGUUGUGGAGGUCUUGGGAGCGUAAUACUCUGUUAUUAGGGAAGAACAGAUGUGUCAGUAGAUGUGCACAUAGUGACGGUACCUAAUCAGAAAGCAACGGCUAACUACGUG
rnacentral:rRNA from 1 species